rnacentral:rRNA from 1 species
UACGGAGGGUGCGAGCGUUGUCCGGAAUCACUGGGCGUAAAGGGCGCGUAGGUGGCCUGUGGAAGUCUGCGGUGAAAGCCCGGCGCUCAACGCCGGGUCGGCCGUGGAUACUCUCGGGCUUGAGCUCACUAGAGGCAGAUGGAAUUCCGGGUGUAGCGGUGGAAUGCGUAGAGAUCCGGAAGAACACCGGUGGCGAAGGCGGUCUGCUGGGCAGUUGCUGACACUGAGGCGCGACAGCGUGGGGAGCAAACAGG